rnacentral:rRNA from 1 species
UACGUAGGGUGCGAGCGUUAAUCGGAAUGACUGGGCGUAAAGCGUGCGCAGGCGGCUUUGCAAGACAGAUGUGAAAUCCCCGGGCUCAACCUGGGAACUGCAUUUGUGACUGCAAGGCUAGAGUACGGCAGAGGGGGAUGGAAUUCCGCGUGUAGCAGUGAAAUGCGUAGAUAUGCGGAGGAACACCAAUGGCGAAGGCAAUCCCCUGGGCCUGUACUGACGCUCAUGCACGAAAGCGUGGGGAGCAAACAGG